AGAGUUUGAUCAUGGCUCAGAACGUACGCUGGCGGCACGCCUAACACAUGCAAGUCGAACGAAGUAGCAAUACUUAGUGGCAGACGGGUGAGUAACAUGUAGGUAUCUGCCCUUUGGCCUGGAAUAACACGAGGAAACUUGUGCUAAUACCGGAUAAGUCUUUACGGAGAAAGCUUUAUGCACCAUUGGAUGAGCCUGCACUUGAUUAGUUUGUUGGUGGGGUAAUGGCCUACCAAGACUGUGAUCAAUAGCUGAUUUGAGAGGAUGAUCAGCCACAUUGGGACUGAGACACGGCCCAAACUCCUACGGGAGGCAGCAGUGGGGAAUCUUGCACAAUGGAGGAAACUCUGAUGCAGCGAUGCCGCGUGAGUGAAGAAGGCCCUUGGGUUGUAAAGCUCUUUCGUCGGGGAAGAAAAUGACUGUACCCGAAUAAGAAGGUCCGGCUAACUUCGUGCCAGCAGCCGCGGUAAUACGAAGGGACCUAGCGUAGUUCGGAAUUACUGGGCUUAAAGAGUUCGUAGGUGGUUGAAAAAGUUAGUGGUGAAAUCCCAGAGCUUAACUCUGGAACUGCCAUUAAAACUUUUCAGCUAGAGUAUGAUAGAGGAAAGCAGAAUUUCUAGUGUAGAGGUGAAAUUCGUAGAUAUUAGAAAGAAUACCAAUUGCGAAGGCAGCUUUCUGGAUCAUUACUGACACUGAGGAACGAAAGCAUGGGUAGCGAAGAGGAUUAGAUACCCUCGUAGUCCAUGCCGUAAACGAUGUGUGUUAGACGUUGGAAAUUUAUUUUCAGUGUCGCAGGGAAACCGAUAAACACACCGCCUGGGGAGUACGACCGCAAGGUUAAAACUCAAAUGAAUUGACGGGGACCCGCACAAGUAGUGGAGCAUGUGGUUUAAUUCGAAGAUACGCGCAGAACCUUACCAACACUUGACAUGUUCGUCGCGACUCUAAGAGAUUAGAGUUUUCGGUUCGGCCGGACGAAACACAGGUGCUGCAUGGCUGUCGUCAGCUCGUGUCGUGAGAUGUUGGGUUAAGUCCCGCAACGAGCGCAACCCUCACUUUUAGUUGCCAUCAUUAAGUUGGGCACUCUGAAAGAACUGCCAGUGAUAAGCUGGAGGAAGGUGGGGAUGACGUCAAGUCCUCAUGGCCCUUACGUGUUGGGCUACACACGUGCUACAAUGGUAUCUACAACAGGAAGCAAGACUGCGAAGUUAAGCAAAUCCCUAAAAGAUACCUCAGUUCGGAUUGCACUCUGCAACUCGAGUGCAUGAAGCUGGAAUUACUAGUAAUCGUGGAUCAGCGUGCCACGGUGAAUGCGUUCCCGGGUCUUGUACACACCGCCCGUCACACCAUGGGAGUUGGUUCUACCUUAAGGCAAGGUUUCAAACCCUUGACCACGGUAUAGUCAGCGACUGGGGUGAAGUCAUAACAAGGUAGCCGUA
rnacentral:rRNA from 1 species